rnacentral:misc_RNA from 1 species
AAGUCGUAACAAGGUCUCCGUAGGUGAACCUGCGGAAGGAUCAUUACCUUUCUGGCUAUUUAAUAGCUUGUCUGGGGGCUGUAGUUUCUGCAGUCCCUGACUACAUCCGUGUUUUUUGCGUACUACAUGUUUCCUCGGCGGGCUUGCUCGCCGGAUGGACAAUACUAUAACCUUUUUAAUAUUCAAUCAGCGUCUGAAAAACUUGAAUAAUUACAA